rnacentral:rRNA from 1 species
CAGUCGAACGAGAGAGAGGAAGCUUGCUUCCUCAAUCGAGUGGCGAACGGGUGAGUAUCGCGUGAGGAACCUGCCUCAAAGAGGGGGACAACAGUUGGAAACGACUGCUAAUACCGCAUAAGCCCACAGCUCGGCAUCGAGCAGAGGGAAAAGGAGCAAUCCGCUUUGAGAUGGCCUCGCGUCCGAUUAGCUAGUUGGUGAGGUAACGGCCCACCAAGGCGACGAUCGGUAGCCGGACUGAGAGGUUGAACGGCCACAUUGGGACUGAGACACGGCCCAGACUCCUACGGGAGGCAGCAGUGGGGAAUAUUGCACAAUGGGGGAAACCCUGAUGCAGCGACGCCGCGUGGAGGAAGAAGGUCUUCGGAUUGUAAACUCCUGUUGUUGAGGAAGAUAAUGACGGUACUCAACAAGGAAGUGACGGCUAACUACGUGCCAGCAGCCGCGGUAAAACGUAGGUCACAAGCGUUGUCCGGAAUUACUGGGUGUAAAGGGAGCGCAGGCGGGAGAACAAGUUGGAAGUGAAAUCCAUGGGCUCAACCCAUGAACUGCUUUCAAAACUGUUUUUCUUGAGUAGUGCAGAGGUAGGCGGAAUUCCCGGUGUAGCGGUGGAAUGCGUAGAUAUCGGGAGGAACACCAGUGGCGAAGGCGGCCUACUGGGCACCAACUGACGCUGAGGCUCGAAAGUGUNGGUA